rnacentral:rRNA from 1 species
GGUUUAAUUCGAUGAUACGGCGAGGAACCGUUACCUGGGCUCGAACGUAAGAUGACUGUAGGUGAAAGCUUACAUCUCUUCGGAGCAUUUUACAGGGUGCUGCAUGGUUGUCGUCAGCUCGUGCCGUGAGGUGUCGGGUUAAGUCCCAUAACGAGCGCAACCCCUACCUUAGUUGCCAUCAGGUUAAGCUGGGGACUCUAAAGGAACUGCCUACGCAAGUAGUGAGGAAGCGGGGAUGACGUCAAAUCAGCACGGCCCUUACGUCUAGGGCUACACACGUGCUACAAUGGCCGAUACAGAGGGCAGCUACCUGGUGACAGGAUGCAAAUCUCCAAAGUCGGUCUCAGUUCGGAUCGGAGUCUGCAACCCGACUCCGUGAAGUUGGAUUCGCUAGUAAUCGCGCAUCAGCCAUGGCGCGGUGAAUACGUUCCCGGGCCUU